GGUAAAAGGUGCGAGUUUCUCCCUCUAUCUCGCGGCUAAUUAGACCGGGCCUGAACGCGGCAGAAUGAAUAUUCAUGAGCGGCAGCGACGCGCAAUUAGUGGCAGAGAGGAGAGAGUCCCAACUUCAACGGAACAACAGUCGUCCCCCGCGCUCCCCGCACCGCGCUGGGCCCGCGCCAGCAUCUCCCCCCCUCACCCCGAUCCCUUAUCCUCCCGCUCCGUUCUCAUCCGCCCGCUCCUGGACUGUUGAAAGAAAUCCACCGAAAGAUGGAGAUGUUUCACGUUAUGGAAAUGACGGGAGAGAGACUCACACCGGGAGAGAGUGACCACCAGUUCACCGUUUAGCACACUGAUGCGGGCUCCUGGACACAAGGGUCACGACCUCAACACGGCAGGAACGCUAACCCAAUGUUUUAGGGGUCUGGUGGCCUUUGAAUCCAGAAGGUUGCCGGUUCGAUCCCUGGCUCCGCCGAGUUGGGAGUAGUCCCUGAGCGAGACGUCUUACCCUGACGGGCUGCUGUCGCCCUGGGGGGUCGACUCCGCCAUGGGGGGGUAGUGUGAACCGCUGUGAUGACCCCGGAGAAAAGCAUCUGCUCCGCCGAACAACGGAGAAAACUAAAGACUGAAGCAGCAGAGAGAGACUCCCCUCUCAGGAGUCAGAGAGAGGACUCAUGUUCUCCUCUCUCAGGAGUCAGAGACAGGCCUCAUGUUCUCCUCUCUCAGGAGUCAGAGAGAGGACUCUUGUUCUCCUCUCAGGAGUCAGAGACAGACCUCCUGUUCUCCUCUCUCAGGAGUCAGAGAGGACACCUCAUCUCCUCUCUCUGACUCCAGAGAGAGGACUCUUGUUCUCCUCUACAGGAGUCAGAGAGAGGAGUCAUGUUCUCCUCUCAGGAGUCGGAGAGAGGACUCAUGUUCUCCUCUCUCAGGAGUCAGAGAGAGGACUCUUGUUCUUCUCUCAGGAGUCAGAGAGAGGACUCAUGUUCUCCUCUACAGGAGUCAGAGACAGGACUCAUGUUCUCCUCUACAGGAUUCAGAGAGAGGACUCAUGUUCUCCUCUCUCAGGGGUCAGAGAGAGGACUCAUGUUUUCCUCUCUCAGGAGUCAGAGAGAGGACUCAUGUUCUCCUCUCUCAGGAGUCAGAGAGAGGACUCUUGUUCUCCUCUACAGAAGUCAGAGACAGGACUCAUGUUCUCCUCUCUCAGGAGUCAGAGAGAGGACUCAUGUUCUCCUCUCAGGAGUCAGAGACAGGCCUCAUGUUCUCCUCUCCCAGGAGUCAGAGACAGGCCUCAUGUUCUCCUCUCUCAGGAGUCUCUCUGCUGAGGUUCUCCAGGGCAUGGCGUACAGCGACACUACGUGCUGAGAUGGAAGACUUUGCCACACCUGUUCCACCACAGGUGUAACAGACAGAUGUAUUAACACCUGCUCAGAGUGAUUGAUGCCACUUGUUCUGCUGGUUUUCGGCAGUAAAGCCGACGCGUUGGGGUUGUCAGUCUCCUGAGUGUCUGUGAGUGAUGUCCCAGCCUGUGUGACACCUCAGUUACCCCCAGAACCUCCUCCAUCACCUCCAGCUCCACCUUAUUCAAUCAGUCGUUGGAUAUUACACUUUAAAUGCUCCUCAUUCAUCUGUUUUCUUUGUGACUUCAAGAAUAAUAAAGGAUAAAAUAAUAGCUG
ensembl:lncRNA